UUAUUUUUAAUAAAUAUAAACUGAAUGCCUAUAGAAUUGUAAUAUGCUUUUGUUCUGAAUAUUCAACUACUAAAUAAAACUAUUUGUUUCUAGAGUGAAAUGAAAAAAAUGUAAUAGAAGUAUAAAUUAAUGUCAAUAAAACUAAUGCCUCAGCCUUUGCAUCGUUUCUUUCUUUUUUUUUCUAUGCUAGUUCUCACAUUUGUCUAACAUUAGGUAAUUAAGGGUUUUAUUAAUUACUUAUCACAGAAAAAUAAAGCAACCUUAUUUAUUAUAAUAAUAUGAAGAAAGAUAUCUGUUACGUCAAAAUGAAAGACGGGGAAAAAUGACGUUAUGACUUAAUUAAUAAAGUAAGGGUAUUUUGUAAUUUAUAAAAUAAAGAGGGAUAAUAAGGUCAAUUAUUUGGUCAAAUGUAAUAGAAGUAUAAAUUAAUACCAAUAAAACAAAUGCCUCAGCCUUUGCAUCGUUUCUUUCUUUUUUUUUUUCUAUGCUAGUUCUCACAUUUGUCUAAUAUUAGGUAAUUAAGGGUUUUAUUAAUUACUUAUCACAGAAAAAUAAAACAACCUAAUUUAUUAUAAUAAUAUGAAAAAAGAUAAUUGUGACGUCAAAACGGAACUUAAUUAGUAAAGUAAGGGUAUUUUGUAAUUUACAAAAAAGGAGGGAUAAUAAGGUCAAUUAUUUGGUCAAACAUGAAAAGCUUUUAAGCUAAAAAGCAAU
rnacentral:lncRNA from 1 species